AGAGAUAGAUAAUCUGUCUGCCCAUAAAGGAAUUAUAUUAUAUAUAUGUGUGUGUGUGUGUGUGUGUGUAUAUAUAUAUAUAUAUAUGCUUCUAUAUAUAUAUAGUAGCAGAGACA
rnacentral:miRNA from 12 species